rnacentral:rRNA from 1 species
GCAGACAACCAGGAUGUUGGCUCAGAAGCAGCCACUCAUUUAAAGAGUGCGUAAUAGCUCACUGGUCGAGCGUCUCUGCGCGGAAAAUUUAACGGGGCUAAGAUACAAACCGAAGCUUAGGCUGCACUUUUAGUGCGGGGUAGGGGAGCGUUGUGUAAGCGGAGAAACAGUAGCGGAAGCGGCUGUGGAGUUUACAGAAGUGAGAAUGCCGGAAUGAGUAGCGCGAAUGAUGUGAGAAUCAUCAUGGCCGGAAACCUCAGGUUUUUGGAGGAAGGUUCGUCCGCUCCAAGUUAGGCGGGAGCUAAGGUGAGGCCGAAAGGCGUAGCCGAUGCACAGACGGUAGAGAUUCCGUCCCCACCGAAAGAUUUAAGCGCAGGGACACUUUUAGAAGGUCGGAGCCAGGUGUUGGUUCUGGUAGAGAUCGAGGGAAGAUUAGUACCGAAGUCCGGCUGGAUAAGAGGCGAGAAAAGCUGCGUGUAUAUCUAAGGUGCCCGUACCGCAAACCGACACAGGUAGGUAGGAAGAAGAUUCUAAGGCCAACGGGAGAAGGGUUGUUAAGGAACUCGGCAAGUUGACCCCGUAACUUCGGAAUAAGGGGUGCUCAUGAAAGUGAGCCGCAGAGAAUAGGCCCAGGCAACUGUUUACCAAAAACACAGGUUUGUGCUAAAUCGAAAGAUGACGUAUACGAGCUGACGCCUGCCCGGUGCUGGAAGGUUAAAAGGAGAUGUGCAAGCAUUGAAUUGAAGCCCCAGUGAACGGCGGCCGUAACUAUAACGGUCCUAAGGUAGCGAAAUUCCUUGUCAGGUAAGUUCUGACCCGCAUGAAAGGCGUAAUGAUCUGGGCACUGUCUCAACAGCCCGCCCGGCGAAAUUGUAGUACCGGUGAAGAUGCCGGUUACCCGCGACAAGACGGAAAGACCCCAUGGAGCUUUACUGUAGCCUAAUAUUGGGUUUCGGUGUUGCAUGCACAGGAUAGAUGGGACGCUAGGAAGUGAGUGCUUUGGCAUUCAUGGAGCGGCCGUUGGGAUACCAUCCUUGCGACAUUGGAAUUCUAACCUGCGCCUUUGAAUCAAGGCGGGGGACAUUGUUAGGUGGGCAGUUUGACUGGGGCGGUCGCCUCCUAAAGAGUAGCGGAGGCGUUCAAAGGUUGGCUCGUCCUGGACGGAAACCAGGAGAGAGAGUGCAAACGCAAAAGCCAGCCUGACUGCGAGACUGACGGGUCGAGCAGAGACGAAAGUCGGAGUUAGUGAUCCGGUGGUAUGUGAGUGGAAAUGCCAUCGCUCAACGGAUAAAAGUUACCCUGGGGAUAACAGGCUGAUCUCCCCCAAGAGUCCACAUCGACGGGGAGGUUUGGCACCUCGAUGUC